AGGACGAACGCUGGCGGCGCGCUUAACACAUGCAAGUCGAGCGAGAACCAGGGCUUCGGCUCUGGGGACAGCGGCGAACGGGUGAGUAACACGUGAGUAAUCUGCCCUCGACACUGGGAUAGCCCGGGGAAACCCGGAUUAAUACCGGAUAGCCUUUCGAGCUCUCGGGCUCGUCAGAAAAGGAUGGCUUCGGCUUUCGGUUGAGGAUGAGCUUGCGGCGGAUUAGCUUGUUGGUGAGGUAACGGCUCACCAAGGCGACAAUCCGUAGCUGGUCUGAGAGGACGAUCAGCCACACUGGGACUGAGACACGGCCCAGACUCCUACGGGAGGCAGCAGUGGGAAUCUUGCGCAAUGAGCGAAAGCUUGACGCAGCGACGCCGCGUGAGGAAGAAGGCUUCGGUGUAACUCUUCAGGAGGACGAAGCCGCGACGGCUAAUACCCAGAGGUGACGGUACCUCCGAGAAGAACGCCCCGGCUAACCGUACGUCGCCGAGACGCCGUA
rnacentral:rRNA from 1 species